rnacentral:rRNA from 1 species
GGGAAACUGGGUCUAAUACUAGAUAUGACUCYUCAUCGCAUGGUGGGGGGUGGAAAGCUUUUGUGGUUUUGGAUGGACUCGCGGCCUAUCAGCUUGUUGGUGAGGUAAUGGCUCACCAAGGCGACGACGGGUAGCCGGCCUGAGAGGGUGACCGGCCACACUGGGUCUGAGACACGGCCCAGACUCCUACGGGAGGCAGCAGUGGGGAACAUUCCACAAUGGGCGCCAGCCUGAUGCAGCGACGCCGCGUGAGGGAUGACAGGCCUUCGGGUUGUAAACCUCUUUCAGUAGGGAAGAAGCGAAAGUGACGGUACCUGCAGAAGAAGCGCCGGCUAACUACGUGCCAGCAGCCGCGGUAAUACGUAGGGCGCAAGCGUUAUCCGGAAUUAUUGGGCGUAAAGAGCUCGUAGGCGGUUUGUCGCGUCUGCCGUGAAAGUCCGGGGCUCAACUCCGGAUCUGCGGUGGGUACGGGCAGACUAGAGUGAUGUAGGGGAGACUGGAAUUCCUGGUGUAGCGGUGAAAUGCGCAGAUAUCAGGAGGAACACCGAUGGCGAAGGCAGGUCUCUGGGCAUUAACUGACGCUGAGGAGCGAAAGCAUGGGGAGCGAACAGGAUUAGAUACCCUGGUAGUCCAUGCCGUAAACGUUGGGCACUAGGUGUGGGGGACAUUCCACGUUUUCCGCGCCGUAGCUAACGCAUUAAGUGCCCCGCCUGGGGAGUACGGCCGCAAGGCUAAAACUCAAAGGAAUUGACGGGGGCCCGCACAAGCGGCGGAGCAUGCGGAUUAAUUCGAUGCAACGCGAAGAACCUUACCAAGGCUUGACAUGGACCGGACCGCCGCAGAAAUGUGGUUUCCCCUUUGGGGCCGGUUCACAGGUGGUGCAUGGUUGUCGUCAGCUCGUGUCGUGAGAUGUUGGGUUAAGUCCCGCAACGAGCGCAACCCUCGUUCCAUGUUGCCAGCGCGUAAUGGCGGG